GUCCUAGCCCUAAACGAUGUUCAUUAGAUGUGGGAGGUAUCGACCCCUUCCGCGUCGGCGCUAACGCAUUAAAUGAACCGCCUGGGGAGUACGGCCGCAAGGUUGAAACUCAAAGGAAUUGACGGGGGCCCGCACAAGCGGUGGAGCAUGUGGUUUAAUUCGACGCAACGCGAAGAACCUUACCUGGGCUUGAACUACUCGUGGUAAGCCGCUAGAAAUAGUGGCUGACCCGCAAGGGGAGCGAGCAGAGGUGCUGCAUGGUUGUCGU
rnacentral:rRNA from 1 species